rnacentral:lncRNA from 12 species
CUCAGAGGUCUCCAGCAUAACCUCGGGGACACGGGCCCAGGAGCCAGUGUUUGCAGUAGCAUCUCCAUGCGAUCACAGAGGAACCCCACAGGGAUGCCGAGGUCAGCAGCGGAACCAGGAGGGAGCAGGUCUGAUAGAAUGGAACCAAGGCCAAGGCCAAGUGCAACGACAAGUGGAGGCAGACACCACGCGGGCCCCGGGGCAGCACCCAGGGCAGCACCCAGGGCAGCACCGCCAGAGGAAGGUUACUUCCCCAGUUUGCUCGUGUGGUGCCCUCCGUCAGUGGAGACAAGCUUUCCACGAGGAACCAAGAUUUCCACCCUGUGAGCUCUGAGAGGACAGCUGGCCAUCCUCGGGACAGAUGCUUCAAGGAGCCACCAAUCAAGGCUCCAUUUCCUGAACUUUCCUAGGAAGUUGAGCCCUGAGUAGCUGUUCUUGGUAAUAAUAAUAAUAAUAAUUCAUAGCCCAUAGGAAUCUGGGCCAUACAAGCAUUAUUCCACGGGGUCUUUACAAUGUUCCUCUUGGUAUAUCGUGGUGCUUAGUCUACAGGUGAGAUUGAAGGCCCAGGAUGUUGGAGUACCUGCCCGAGAUGAGCUGGGCGGAGUGCGGCAGGGCAGCGCCCGAGCACAGAAUCCUGCUCCCACCAGGGACGUGCAUGCAAACUUCGUAAACCCGUGCAAGGUGGGUGGUGGUUCAAAUCGCAUGUGGGUAUCAUCUCGUAGCCUGUGCACCGUAUGCCCUUGUUGGCUGAAAAAUUCGUUAGCAUGGUUUGUUCCAGGUGACACUCGUACACUUAGGCUUCCAUUUUCAAAGUCAAUCUUACAGAAUUCUGUUUUUAUUCUUUCUCCUGCUCAGUAAAAAAUGAAAGCUGAUCUUUUCCCAGGGGAAAAAAAAAAAAAAGUCACCUGAAAUUCACUCUAGAAAUAUUUGCCUACAGUUGGUAGUUGAGGGUCUGUCGUUCUCUCGCUCUCUACGGCCCCUACUUCUAUUUUCUUGUGUUGAAUUUCCCAGUAGAGACCAGGAGUUUCCUCCUGAAUAUUUCUGCCCAGGGACAUGACUGGGACGGAAAUGGGACGAGAGUGGCCAGUCCGUGGGUAGGCCCGCCCUGUCUCUUUGUUCGAGCCCAGGCCAUCCCCCUCGUCAUUGUAAGUAGGACAGUGGGUGCCUUCGCCUGUCGCCUCAUUCAUGCUGAAUUGGGCAGAACAAAACCGCUGCCUUUGACGGGGACGCGGUGCCUGGACACUGUGUGCUCCCGACUGUGCACAUUUCCAUUUGUUGUGCGUGGAAGUUCCUGCCAAGUCUUUCACACUUGCGGCCAAUUAAACACAAAAUCCUAAUGUUUGUGGCUUCCACUUGCAAUAAUCUGAUUUAUCACAGGCCUCUCCUGACAAGUAUUAGAAUCAAGUCCAAACUGUGUCUUGCCGUCUGACAAGGGGAAUUCCUAAGCCCUUGCUCCUUCUCCUCAGACCACGCUGCCCACCUCUCCAGUCUAGAGGGCUGGGCUGUGGCCUCGACCCGGGCUUUCUCUGCUCAGUUACAGUUUCUCCUCCUUUCCUCCAUGCAGCUCAUCUGUCGAGGGUGGAGAAUGUGUGGAUUCAGCACGAGGUUCCCCUGGAGACACGUGCAUGUAAAAAAAGAAUGACUAUUUGGAUGGAACGAGUCAAGCUGGUGAAGGUGACAUGAGGAUGCUUGAAGGGUUGGCAGGGAGGUGGAGACCCGUGGAGUCUGAGCAGGGGCAGGAAGGCCGGUCAUCCAUGGGACAGCCAGCCAGCUGUGUUCCUCUUCUUUUAAAAUCUGUUGCUUUUCCAAAAAAGAUCUCCUAAUAAGGGGUAAGAAUCCCAAAUGUGAAAAAUGUGAACCCAUAGCAAAAAAUGACCUUUCUUAAAAUUUCCAAAAUAAAGCUUUCCUUCCUCCUCCCCCUCCUCUCUCU